GACGUAGGGCGCGAGCGUGUCCGGAUUUAUUGGGCGUAAAGAGCGUGUAGGCGGCCUGAAAGGUCAGCUGUGAAAACUCGAGGCUCAACCUCGAGACGUCGGUUGAAACCAUCUGGCUAGAGUCCGGAAGAGGAGAGUGGAAUUCCCGGUGUAGCGGUGAAAUGCGCAGAUAUCGGGAAGAACACCCGUGGCGAAGGCGGCUCUCUGGGACGGUACUGGACGCUGAGACGCGAAAGCGUGGGGAGCGAACAGG
rnacentral:rRNA from 1 species